rnacentral:lncRNA from 1 species
CAAAAUGUAUCAUAAAUAGCACUAUUGGCUGAAGAAUGAGUAAAACUUCCACCAUGGAAGAAAAUAAUGACAGGUACAAUUUCUGUGGUACUCAAAGGUUUCUCAAGCUCUACUUUACCCCAAUCGGCCUCAUUUUUUGGGGCCGGUCUAUAGACACGGUUAAGCAGGCUUGUAGCACGAUCAAGGACAUCAAAACAGUAAACUCCAUCAACUGGAAUAGAGUUAGCAGCGACUUUCCUUUCCAAGAACUCAGCCAAAUCGCGAUUAAACGUGCCAUCAGACCGCCGAAGCAUGUUGUAAGCCAGCUUGAAAUUGGAUAUAAGAAUCCAUGUAUUAAGUGGAACCACUCUCUGCCAAAAUGGACAUAAUAAGGUCUCGUCAUUACAAAAAUAACAUCUACAAAUAGUAGAACCAAUAUUCACUCCCCUUUCUGAGGUACUAAAAGCAAAUUGAUCAUAGCAAUAUGCAUCUUGUGACAAUCCACAAAUAGUCACAACAAAUAAAGGAAAUAUCUGGCAAAAUUUUUAUGCAUAGCCAGAAAGAGAAAGUAGCAAAUGGAAAAGAAAGAAUCAAACUCCAAAAGAGCAAAUGGGAAAGCAAAAGGUGAUUUUGUAAAAGACAGGCCAAAGAAACAUAAGAAUGACAUACCAUCUACCUAAUCAAAGCUCAUUCACAAAAAUCAAUCAUAAAGUUUCAUCCUUUUUUCCUCAAAAAAAAAAAAAAUUCAAAUUUUCUUAGACACAAAAAGGUCACACCACAAAAGAUAGAUACUUUCAGACAUAAAAUGAUCAUCUAAUGAAGAAAAACUGGCAAUUAACAGAAUCAUUACCUGCCAAGCUUAAUAAAAUUUCACAAAGGGAAAAGGCUCAACUCAAAGAUGAAGAAGAAACCAAAGA